rnacentral:rRNA from 1 species
ACAGGUGCUGCAUGGCUGUCGUCAGCUCGUGUCGUGAGAUGUUGGGUUAAGUCCCGCAACGAGCGCAACCCUUGCCAUUAGUUGCUACGAAAGGGCACUCUAAUGGGACUGCCGGUGACAAACCGGGGAAGGUGGGGAUGACGUCAAGUCCUCAUGGCCCUUAUAGUGGGGCUACACACGUCAUACAAUGGCCGGUACAGAGGGUAGCCAACCCGCGAGGGGGAGCCAAUCCCACAAAGCCGGUCGUAGUCCGGAUCGCAGUCUGCAACUCGACUGCGUGAAGUCGGAAUCGCUAGUAAUCGCGGAUCAGCAUGUCGCGGUGAAUACGUUCCCGGGUCUU